UUACGGCCAUAUCACGUUGAAACACCGGUUGCCAUACGAUCACUGAAGUUAAGUAACGUCAAACCUAGUCACAACCUAGAUGGGUAACCGCUUGGGAAUAACAGGUGCUGUAAG